UUGACUUUUCUCAACGAAUAUACGUUUCGAAACGACAUAGAGUAAAUACUUAAUACGAAACAACAAAGGUAUUAGUCAUUGUCAACAUAAAUUGUGAAUUACGUAUUGCUGCUACGGAUUAACGUGCUUACAUGAAGUAAUAAAUGCAAUCAAAGACCCAAAAUACAGUUAGAAUUUACUGAGGUCGUAGUGAAUAUCAGCUGCUGCAGUAGCCACCAGAAAGAUCGCGGGAGGCGCACAUCGGCACGGCGCGUCACGGACGGUAGUUGCCGCAAAUAGAGUCCCGUCCACCAGAGGGCACACGAGAAUUUGGCCGCGAUCUCUGCCAGCGGAACAACAAGAACAACUCAGGCAGCAUGGGCCGGGUCCAGUGAGUUCACAUCGGGAAUGCCUAUGAGACAGUUCCCGGUCUACUCAGAAGUGCGACGGAAAACGUGAACCGUGUUACUACAGAAUUGGGGCGUGUCGAUGUGCGCCUCCUGUGAUCUUUCUGGUGGCUACUGCAGCUGCUAUAUUAUUUGCUGAUUGCACACUCAACUUAAGACAGUAAAAUCAAAGAUAUCUUGCCAUUAUUUUCCCAAAUCUCAUCAAUAUUACUAAUCGCCCAAACAUAUAUAAGACAAUUUUGCAUCACAUUUUUUCUGAAAUAACUUUUAAACAUCAUUUGUUUCCAUCUUCUGAUAUCUUAUUUGUAUACUCAAGAUUUAGAAAUUCUGUCAUGUAAUGUAGGCUGUAUACAGUGCUUAUAAUUGUGUUAUUCAACAAAUGACUAAGCAUCCUUCAGCACAGAAACUUAUACAAUGGUAAAGAUGUAGAAGAUGGAUGACCAAAACUGAGAGAGAAUUCUAGGACAGAAAAGAUGUAGAUGUUGGAUAACCAUCCUGGAACAGAACCGUAGGACAAGAAAGAUGUAGAUGAUGGGUGACCAAGCUGGGACAGAAUGCCAAGACAGGAAAGAUGUAGAAAUGAGUGGACCAGGAAGCAAAGAAUCAUUACACCAAGAUAUUGCCAUAUAGUUGUGGAAAACUGAAGAAUCCUCCCCCCUGGCUCCUCUCUUUCAGGCACUACCUAUCAAAUAUAAUUCAAGCUGAGGAGACAAAAGACUGUGGUGACGAAAGCUAGAGGGUUUUAGUUCUCCACUAAGAAUAGGUGUGCUCGGUUGUCUUGGACACUCCUAAUGUCCCCUGUGACAGGUCAGCCAGCAGCGACAAAGUCAUUAGUAUCGG